UCUCUACCUUUUUAUUUCAUGAUUCGAGGAUCGUAAAUCCCCAACUCUCUUCAAGAACGAUUUAGGGCUUCUUCGCCCAAUAUAGCGCACUCGAUAGCGUGACUUCGUAUUUCGCUCGCAGUUACGCGUGCCAAGGCAAUUGUAAAGCUCGCAGUUACGUCGCAGAUACGGUGCACGCUGUGAGGUAUUGCAGAACAAAUGGUAUGUCCAAGAGGCGUAUUUGUGGAGGAAUCUCAAACUUUUGCAUACUAACCGAUUCUCAAACUGUUAUACAAGAGGUGUACAAGUUCCAUUACCUGGCCAUGUAACUAUCUUUUCCAAAUUGACCGUCCUCCUUCUGUUAGCUCCUCGGAGACUGUAUUUGGUGCAACUUCCUCAAAGCAACCAUUUGAGUAUGCUCUUAAUAAUGUAAGUUCAGGAAAUGCUCAUUUUCAAAUUCAUCCCUUCUAUUUUGGAACUAGAAGUGAAGCUAUGGUUUCAUUUUCCUUUUCGGUUCUAAAUUUCAAAGAUGUUUUGAAUUUUGAUUCGUGGUUUAAUGUGAAACUCAAUUAGAUACGCAGAAAUUGGAAAUCGAUGUAUGAGGAUUAAAUACCUUUAUUACUGUUACUCUUCUAAUUUCUUCUCAAAAGAUUGUGAAAUAAUAUGUUACAGCUUCAGUUGUCAAUCUGGAUUCACUUGUCUCUAAUUGAAGUCCUUGUUUUCAUAGCUUAUAGAUGCCAGUGUUUUUGGACUAUCAGCUCAAGAGGUAAGGAAAUUUCCAUAUAUUGCAUCAAUGGGUAUAUAUGUGUUUAAAAUAGACGUUCUGCUAAAAUUUCUUAGUAAUUUAGUUUCUUUGUGCAGUUUUUGUUUUCCCUAGUUGGUUCUUAUUCCCCUUUUUUAUUAGAAAUAUCAAUUUUGUAACGUGGGGGUGAUUCUAUAAAAAUAGUGAAGUAAUUGUCUCCUUCCCUCAGUGCAAUAAUUAAUGGAUUAGAUAUUGAAUAAAUGAUGGCAUAAGGGUCUACCCAACAAAAAAUUAAUAUAAAUAAAUAACUUAUGGUCGAUGCUUUAACUAGUGGUUGUCUUGACAUCAUUUCAUGGGUUAUAUUGUCAAAUAUAGAAGUGGUUAUUAGGAAGAUAUUGGGACUAUUAAAUCUUUCUUUGAUGGGAACUUGGCCCUUAUGGAUCAGGUAGGUGUUUUAGUAUUUAAAAGUCAUAGGUGGCGGUCAAAAAAUCCAAUGAGUGUAUACAAGCUGCAAUUUACUGUUCUUUCAUAUUGAAGCCGCAUGACCGAUCAAAGCCUCGUUUUACAUGUCUUCGGUUCCUGCCACUAACCAAAAUAAAGCUCGAGAAGGCUCUAUACUUUUCUCAGGCAAACAAGAAGAAAGAGGAGUAUGAAAACACUCUUUGGGUUUGCAAUAAUGAAUUUCAUCGUAGUUGGUAUUGGUAAUUGCUCUGUUUGAUUUUAUAAUUUUCUUGUACCUAUAAUAGCAAAUAUGACUAGGAGGAACCAUAUUAUGGGAACAAUGGGCAAUGAUUUAUGGUACCAUUUUCAUGAACAAUGGCAGAAGCAAGAAAAAGGUACCAUUUUCCUUAGACUCUCCCAUUCAAGUCAUAAGUUAUUUUUCACUCUCCUUACGUAGCUUUUCCUAAAAAUGUGUUUUGCUUUUCUGAAAACUUUUGGAAUAUUCAAGUCAUAAGUUAUUUGGUUGUUUACUUCCUAUAUGGACCAGAGAAACAGAUUUUAGUCUAUAAAUUUGUUCUAUUCAACGUACGUGGUUUCUCUAUCCAAACAGAUGAUUUCAAUUUGUCUUUGUCCUUGUUCAUCAGAUCCUCAGCAACCAAAUAAAAUAAAUAUUUUUCAAGUGAUUUUAAUACCUGAGCUGUUCUGUUUUGUCCUGUUCUGAUUUUAAUACCUAUACUGUUUUCUCUUACAGUAUAUUUCUUGUUUCUGUGGUUACUGUAUAUCUCAGUUUUCUGCCGUUUUCUCAUGUCAUGAACAUUUUUAAUCACUUUGACAUGCUCAGCAUUAUGCCUUGGCUUUAUCAAUUAAUCAGUUAGCUGACUCCGGGGUCUUAACUCUUAAUUGUUCCAUUGGAGGUUGUACCUGUUAAUGAUCUUAUGUAUUAUAAGCUGGGUAUUUAAAACAAACAAUUAAUUUUCAUUUAUACAAAAAAAGAAAAAAGUAUUUGCUUUUUAUCCCCUUAUGUUUUGGUAUAUAUUGAGAUAUUUUCUUUGAUUUAAAAAACAUGAUAAUAAUAAGUUUAAUCUUUGCAUUUUCUUGAAUUUGGAUCUAUGGAUUUAAUUUUAUGUGGGAUUUUUUUUUUCGCUUUCAGGCUGAGUUGGAGGAAUCAGAUGAGAAGGCCGGUCCUGAAACUGAGGAAGCUUGAAACACCAUUGCAAAAGUUAAAAAAGUAUUUGAAACAACUGAAGUUUAGCAGGGUGGUUUCAUUAGAGUUUUGUCAAAGUGUAUCCACCAAGGAGCCCAUCUUUUGAACUAAGCCAAUCCUUAUUUUGUUUUCUUAUGUAAUUGUAGAAUAUGUAUGAAGUUUCAUCCAUUUUUUAGUGAUAAGACAUGAUUAAAUGCUGUUUUGUAUGUUGUAUGUUGCAAUAAAUGUUGUUUUCGUUAAAU